rnacentral:rRNA from 1 species
CAUGUCUAAGUAUAAGCAAUUAUACCGCGAAACUGCGAAUGGCUCAUUAUAUAAGUUAUCGUUUAUUUGAUAGCACAUUACUACAUGGAUAACUGUGGUAAUUCUAGAGCUAAUACAUGCUAAAAAUCCCGACUUCGGAAGGGAUGUAUUUAUUAGAUUAAAAGCCAACGCCCUUCGGGGCUUCCUGGUGAUUCAUAAUAACUUUUCGAAUCGCAUGGCCUUGUGCCGGCGAUGGUUCAUUCAAAUUUCUUCCCUAUCAACUUUCGAUGCGAAGGUAUUGUCUUCGCAUGGUUGCAACGGGUAACGGAGGGUUAGGGCUCGACCCCGGAGAAGGAGCCUGAGAAACGGCUACUACAUCCAAGGAAGGCAGCAGGCGCGCAAAUUACCCAAUCCCGACACGGGGAGGUAGUGACAAUAAAUACUGAUACAGGGCUCUUUUGGGUCUUGUAAUCGGAAUGAGUACAAUUUAAAUCCCUUAACGAGGAACAAU